CCCCUCCUCCGUCGCCGGCUGGGGCCUCUGGAGGCCGCCGAGGGGCCAGUCCGCCAGUUGGGGGAAAAACCGCCGACGCCGGCUGGGGAUUGGACCACGUCACGGGGCCCGGCGCCCGCCCCCGUGCGCUCCCGGACCUUUCCGGCCUCGGCGCUGGGUACCCGACUGCCGGGGUCGGGAAUGACCCGAGGCCGGUGCGAGUGGGCGCACGGACAGUCCCGCAGUCGGCCCCCUUCCUCCGGUCACCUGGGGAGACCCGGCCGAGGAGUGGGAGUGACCCGCAUCCCCUCUGUAGCCACGCGGAAGAGGCGCUCGCUUGCUGAAUUUUCAGUGGCUAUCUAUAGAAUUGCAGCAUGAAGAACUACAAUAAUGUAUUUAUCAAGAUUACUAUUUGACAAUUAGGUUGUUUCUUUUUUUCUGCUGUUAUAAAAUUGCAAUAGACAC